UACGGAGGGUGCGAGCGUUGUUCGGAAUCACUGGGCGUAAAGGGCGUGUAGGCGGUCUGCUAAGUCUGAUGUGAAAGCCCGGGGCUCACCCCCGGAAGGGCAUUGGAAACUGGCGGACUCGAGUCCCGGAGAGGAGAGUGGAAUUCCUGGUGUAGCCGUGAAAUGCGUAGAUAUCAGGAGGAACACCGGUGGCGAAGGCGGCUCUCUGGGCGGUGACUGACGCUGAGACGCGAAAGCGUGGGGAGCAAACAGG
rnacentral:rRNA from 1 species